UAAUACGGAGGGUGCAAGCGUUAAUCGGAAUUACUGGGCAUAAAGCGCACGCAGGCGGUUUGUUAAGUCAGAUGUGAAAUCCCCGAGCUUAACUUGGGAACUGCAUUUGAAACUGGCAAGCUAGAGUCUUGUAGAGGGGGGUAGAAUUCCAGGUGUAGCGGUGAAAUGCGUAGAGAUCUGGAGGAAUACCGGUGGCGAAGGCGGCCCCCUGGACAAAGACUGACGCUCAGGUGCGAAAGCGUGGGGAGCAAACAGGAUUAGAUACCCUGGUAGUCCACGCUGUAAACGAUGUCGACUUGGAGGUUGUGCCCUUGAGGCGUGGCUUCCGGAGCUAACGCGUUAAGUCGACCGCCUGGGGAGUACGGCCGCAAGGUUAAA
rnacentral:rRNA from 1 species